rnacentral:rRNA from 1 species
UACAGAGGGUGCAAGCGUUAAUCGGAAUUACUGGGCGUAAAGCGUGCGUAGACGGUUUUGUAAGUCGGAUGUGAAAUCCCCGGGCUCAACCUGGGAAUUGCAUUCGAUACUGCGAAGCUAGGGUACGGUAGAGGGAAGCGGAAUUUCCGGUGUAGCGGUGAAAUGCGUAGAUAUCGGAAGGAACAUCAGUGGCGAAAGCGGCUUCCUGGACCAGUACCGACGUUCAGGCACAAAAGCGUGGGGAGCAAACAGG